CGGCUAACUCCGUGCCAGCAGCCGCGGUAAUACGGAGGGUGCGAGCGUUAAUCGGAAUUACUGGGCGUAAAGCGUGCGCAGGCGGUUAUAUAAGACAGAUGUGAAAUCCCCGGGCUCAACCUGGGAACUGCAUUUGUGACUGUAUAGCUAGAGUACGGCAGAGGGGGAUGGAAUUCCGCGUGUAGCAGUGAAAUGCGUAGAUAUGCGGAGGAACACCGAUGGCGAAGGCAAUCCCCUGGGCCUGUACUGACGCUCAUGCACGAAAGCGUGGGGAGCAAACAGGAUUAGAUACCCUGGUAGUCCACGCCCUAAACGAUGUCAACUGGUUGUUGGGUCUUCACUGACUCAGUAACGAAGCUAACGCGUGAAGUUGACCGCCUGGGGAGUACGGCCGCAAGGUUAAAACUCAAAUGAAUUGACGGGG
rnacentral:rRNA from 1 species